CCUACGGGAGGCAGCAGUGAGGAAUAUUGGUCAAUGGGCGCAAGCCUGAACCAGCCAUCCCGCGUGCAGGAAGACGGCGCUAUGCGUUGUAAACUGCUUUUCCAGGGAGAGAAACUUGCGCACGUGUUGCGCAAUUGACGGUACCCUGGGAAUAAGCAUCGGCUAACUCCGUGCCAGCAGGCGCGGUAAU
rnacentral:rRNA from 1 species